GCCAAGUCUCAGGCGGCUCUAUUUUUCAACGCCAUCACACCAGGCCUCUCUGACUCAGAGUUACGCUUCAGUUUAUUCCACUUAUGGGAGUCAAGAAACAGGGAGCUCCGUAUUGGCUUUGAACUGCAGCUCUUCAACAAGUAGACUCUUCGAUAUCCCUGACGUGGUCGACGAGGAUUUUCUUAUUUUACUAUGUUAAAGAACUUCUAGAUUUUAGAAUACUUGAGGGACUAACUGUGAACUAUCUUCGAGGGUCAAAGAUGACAGAGGCAAGGGCUAGAGGGCUUAAAGGAGUCAUACGAUCUUGCGUUAUGUGCUUUUGUGGUGUCUGCAAUGGAAUUCAG